rnacentral:lncRNA from 1 species
UUCAUUGAAAGAUUUAAACCAAAAUAUAUUUUACAAAAUAAUUGAAACAAGAAUUCAUGUGAAAAAAUACAAGGAGAAUGAACAAAAACAAACCUAAUUAUGUCAAUCAUUAAUGACAGAUUCUCAUAACCCGACAUUUUUGUCGAGACAAUUUAAAAAUUUAAUGCAUCCAACAGAGUAUAUAUACCUCUGCAAAAAAGAGAAAGUUAGAGGAGAUACAAAGAAUUACAAAGAUAAAAAGGAAAUGAUACCUACUACAACGAGUUGAGAAAGAGAAGAGUAUAUAGCGUUUGGAGAUAUUUCAUAGAGCGAGGAGACGGAAAGUAAGUCAAGUUCAAACCAACUCAAGGAGAAAACGUGUUGAUGAAAGAGGCGGAGUGAAAUGACAAGUAUCUGGAAACCCUACCAUUUAGAAUCAUUUAUAGAGUGGUCUAUUUCCUAUUUUUGAUGGACCUAGUUAGGUUGUACUUGUUUGAUUUAUUUGGGCUUAUGUUGGGCCUUUUUGUACAAAAUUUUUGAAAUGGAAUAAAGGAGCUAGACGCUCUGCAAUUUUAUUUUUAAAGAAAAGUAAAAGUGAUAUGAUUUUUAUAAGAACUAGAAAAUUUUUAUUAUUAUGAUAGGACAAAAUAACAAAAUAUUUAUAUAUAUAAUUGUACCAUAGAGAUUGUAGUUGAUUUUAAUUAAUUUAAUUAAUUCAAUAGAUUGGAAAUUUCAAACUUGUACAUGGUAACUUUGUUUGUUAGUCAUAGAUAAAUAUGAUUUGUUUGACACACUUUUUAUGGAGUAAUGAUUAGUUGAAAUAUCUCUAAACUCGUUAACUCAUUUGGAAAUUAAAAUAUUAUUUUUCUUAAUAUAAAAAGUAACCCAUUUGGAAAUCAAAAUAUUAUUUUUCUCAAUGUAAAAAGAGUGAUACAUUUGGGAAUACUUAGUUCCCUUAUACUCUUACUCAAAUUAUGUUUAAAACUCUUUUGUCAAAACUUAUCUUUACUUGCUCCGAAAAUCAGUUUAAGACAAAAAUGUUUGCUUUAUUCAUGCUGAAUUAUAAACAUGAACACCUCAACUCAAGGAUAUCAAUAACAAUAUAGAGAACUCAAUACUAAGAAAUCAAAAACUCAGAAUUCGACGAUGUUACUCACCUUAUAAAUACUUAAAAUUAAUGAUAAAAUCCUAGAUUACUCUUUUACUGAAUUUAGAUAGAUGUAGGGCGUGAGGACAAACUUAGUCCACCAUUAUGAUAGCCUUACAUACACUGAAGAACAUAGUUCUUAGUGAAAUCGAUGAAAAGUCGAAGAACGCUCAAAACCUUAGCUUUCUCCUCUUGGAUCCUUGCUUUAAGACUUGGAAGCAUUAAUGAACGUAAAGGAUUGAUUAACACUGUUCAAACCCUUAACUAGUUUUAAAAGCUGGAAAAAAAAUCUUCAUGGAUCAUUCGUGGUUUGAUCUACGGACGUAAAUCCAAUCUCUGAAAUUUGUAUUGAAUUUUAAGACUCAAAUUUUAUUCUAUGAGUUCAAUCUACAUUCUACGUGUAAACCUACUUAAAAUAUGUGAGUCCAAUAGUACUUAGGGAUCAUAAGCCUAUAGCAUUUUGUGUUUUUUUAGUCCUCUUGGUAAAAUCCAUGAUUUUAAUGUUACUUAUAGGAUAAUCUUGAAUUCCCAUACAAAUAGCUUUCAAAAGGAGCUAACUCCAGGUGAUAUUGGAUUUUAUAGGCUUAUAUACCUAAGAAUAUCCAACAAAGUAUUUUCUUCAAAGAGGACAUGGGUUUUUAUGAUGCAUAAAGAGACUAUGAAAAUUUAUAUAUUGUUAUUGUAAAAGAAAUAAAAAUUAUAUACACAAAGGGUUGGCACAAAUUUGUUAAAGCUAAAGGUUUAAGAGCAAAAGAUACAAUUAUUUGCGAAAAUAAUUGUACUUUACUCCUAAAUCUCCGGCUUUCACAAACUUAUGCCAACCCUUUUCGAAAAUAAAUUUUUUGAUUUCUUUUGCAACAAUACAUUAACUUUCAUAGUCUUCUUGAUAUAUCAUAAAAUCUCACGUUCACUUUGAAUUUAAGAAAAAGAAAUACUCCAUUCGUUUCAAAUGAACUUUCAUAAUCUUCUUGAUACAUCAUAAAAUCUCACGUUCACUUUGAAUUUAAGAAAAAGAAGUAAUCCCUCCGUUUCCAAAAGGAUGACCUAGUUUGACUUGGAACAGAGUUUAAGAAAAGAAAAAAAACUUUUAAUCGUGUGGUUCUAAAUUAAAGUUAAUAAUGGACAAUAUAAUAGAUGGUAUCACUCAAUUAAUGUUUAUUAUCAUAGAAAGACAUUCUUCUUGUUGAUUUUCAAUUUUUUUAACAAGUAAAUGACUUUCUGGGAUGAUAAAUAUUAGCUGAGUGACCAUUUGGGAGGUCAACACAAUUCUCUCUUAAAUGCUACUUUUUUUUCUUUUCAAAUUUCACAAAAUUUAUGUCCAAACGUCAAUCAAAAUAAAAGACUUUCUCUGUUUUUACAAGUCAAAAGAGAAAAAAAACUAUGUGGAUAUUCAUUGAAAGAUUUAAACCAGAAUAUACUUUGCAAAAUUAUAGAAAUAAGAAUUCAUGUGAUAAAAUACAAAGAGAAUGAACAAAAACAAACCUAAUUAUGUCAAUCAUUAAUGACAGAUUCACAUAACCUGACAUCUUUGUCGAGACAAUUUAAAGAUCUAUUUCAUCUACCAGAGUAUAUAUACCUCUGCAAAAAAAGAGAAAGUUAGAGGAGAUACAAAGAAUUAGAAAGAUAAAAAAGAAAUGAUACCUACUACAACGAGCUGAGAAAGAGAAGAGUACACAUAAAUGUUCCAUAGAGCGAGGAGGGGGAAACUAAGUCAAGUUCAAACCAACUCCAGGAGAAAACUUGUUGAUAAAAGAGGCGGAGUGAAAUGAUGAGUAUCAGGAAACCCUACCAUUUAGAAUCAAUUUAUAGAGUGGUCUAUUUCCUAUUUUUGAUGGACCCUGUUAGGCUGUACUUAUUUGAUUUAUUUGGGCUUAUGUUGGGCCUUUUUGUACAAAAUUUUUAAAAUGGAAUAAAGGAGCUAGAUGCUCCGCAAUUUUAUUUUUAUAGAAAGGUAAAAGUGAUAUGAUUUUUAUAAGAACUAGAAAAUUCUUAUUAUUAUGAUAGGACAAAAUAACAAAAUUAUUUAUAUAUAUAAUUGUACCAUAGAGAUUGUAGUUGAUUUUAAUUAAUUAAUUAAUUCAAUAGAUUAGUUGGAGAAUUGAUGAAAGUUUCAAACUUGUACAUGGUAACUUUUUUUGUUAGUCAUAGAUAAAUAUUUUUAAUUUGAACACUUUUUAUGGAGUAGUGAUUAGUAGAAUGACUUGAAAAAAAAAUAUGAAUUUGUGAGUUAAAGUGAAACAUUUUUUGAAUAAAUUAUUUUUAAAAGAUAUAUUUUCCAAAUCUAAUGCAAAAUCUAUAAUCAAACACUUGUUAAAUAUAUAAGAAUCACAUCACAUAGUUUAAAUAAGGAAAAUGAAUUAUUUUACAAAAGAUCAUAAUCGAUUUAAAAUUCCUAUAUACAAUUGUCAUUUGCAUAACUUAAAUAAUAAAAUAUUUUCUAGCCAAAAUCAUUGUUGACAUAAUAUUUUUUAUAUAUUAGAAAAAUAUUAUAUUAUAAUCUUAUUUAAAUUUUUUUCUCAAAACAUAAAAAAAUUGACCUAACAAAGACGCGUGUGCUUUUUGAUCACAAGAGGGAAAAAUGUAUCUCUAAAUUGGAGAUAUAUCUUCUAAGAUUAUGACCUAAGUAAAUAGUUCACACUUCAUAAAUUUAAAUGAACAUAUACUACCUAAACAUUUUAUUCGUCAAAAUAAAUAAUCUUAUAAGACAUAUACAAAAAAUAUUAAGAUUAGACUCACUAUUUAUAAAAUUUUUAAAAAUAACAAUUUGCAAUAAAGUACUAAUUUACUUCUAAUAUUAAAAUUAUUUAUAGAGAAAAACUAUUCAAAAUAUCUAUUAAAAAAAUAAUUAAAUUUUAUUUUUAAAAAAAUUAAAAUUUACAUGUAUAAUUUUCAUUCAAUAUUACACGUUUUUGGGAGGAUAAAAAAAUUAUUUUUCUUCUUUUAAUCUUGUAAAAAUAUUAUUGUUACCUUUUUACUAUUUUACAAAAUAAUAUGUAAUAUAAUAUAUAGUAUAAAAAAUAAUAAUAUAUAAUGUAAAAUAAAUUAUAACAUAAUGUUGGAGAUUACAGAGCAAUGACACAACGAAAAUAUAGAGUGAUCGACAUACCUCCAACCAUUGCUAGCGAUAUAGUUGGAGUCUACAAUUCUUCUUUUCUUCAAGAAUCUUCUAAGCACUCAAAAUCUCACUCUUAGAUGAUAUAAAGUUUUUAGAAUGUAAUGUGCUUAGGGACCUUUGAACCAAAUAACAUAUUUAUAACCGUCCUUCCAUCAAAAACGGUUAAAAGGUCAUGUGAAGUUACCAACCACUUAGUAGGAUAGUGGAUUCAUGUAGUGGGAUAAUCGGUAUUUAACCAUUAUCAAUGGGCAGUUAACCAUUAUCUCAUUAGGUAGUUAACUAGCUUCCCAUUAGUGGAAUAAUGGGUCCAUGAAGUGGAUAAUGGACCAUCUAAUACGGACCAUAUCAGCAUUAACAAAAAUGCUAACACAUUCUCAUAUAAAAACGGAAAAAUAAGAUUCUUAAAUAUUUUUAACCAAACCUAUUAAUAUGUUAAUUAAUUAAUAAGAAAUAUAUUAAUAAGUGUAUACAUAAAAAAUAAUAUUUUAGUCUUGAGAAAAAUAAUUUUUUGUUUCAGCGUCGAUUUUCUUUUUUAAGCAAAAAUUUUUAGCUUCUUUCCAAUAGCAAAAAAAUUACUUCUAUUUCUAUUUAAAAACUUUUACUGAUUUGUCGAGCAUUUAAUUUUUCAAUAAAAGUACUUUUUUCCCCUCAAAAUAAAUGCUUUAGAUCGUUCGAUAAUAAUGCCAAACAGACUGUAAUAUUGAGUAUAAUAUUACUAUAUAACUCAAUCACUAUCUCAUACAAAAUAAUUAAAAAUCAAUAAGGCAGUCUAUUUAAACAACUAAAUACUCUACCAAUACACAGAGAUAAUAGAACCAAAAAAUAUAAUUGUAAAACUUACUUUAGGCAUAAAAUCAAAACCAUAAGACUUCACAUUGUAGUGAUAAAUGAAUGAAAAUAUUGAGGAAAUAUAAUUUCUAUAGAAGAAGAUUAAAAAUAAUAUCGACAUAUGUAAUGAUUAUUCACUUCAAUUAGAAAUUCAAAUGAUUUGCAUACAUGAAUCAUAAGGAGAUUAGAGAAAUUAUUUUCUAUAUAUUCUUAAUUUUAGGAAAAAUAUAUCGUGAAAUAAAGUAAUGAAAUUACAAAAAUCAUGACAAAACAUUCUGAACAAAUUUAAUAACUAUAAUAAAAUAAUAUAAUAAUCGAAAUACAGGAGAUUAUAAAUGUAUAAAAAAUUUAAAUUAAUUGAUAAGAAAAAUGAAUUUCAUUCUACAACCAGACAAAAUAAUUUAAAAAAAAUAAAAUCUCACCAAAAUGGAGACACCAAUUGGGGAUUAGAUAGAUGAGAUGAAAAAUACAAAAUUGAUACUCAUCCCAAUAUCUCAGUUGGUAUUUAUAAUCGAAAGCACUGAAUAUGUAUUUAUGGGAAUAUGAAAUAAUGUUCAUUAAAUACAAUAAAUAUAGGUUAAAAUAUAUUUUAAUUAAUUUAAAAUUGUUCUGUGAUAGACAUUAAAGCGUAUUAAUUGUCUAUUUAAUUGAAUAAUUAUGUUAUGAUCCCUUUUUAAUAGAGAAAAUUAUAGGGGAUAUUAAACUAUUAAUUGAAAUUAAAUGUUAUAACUAUAGUUUAUGUUAUUUAUAAUUCACAUUAAAUAUUCUAUUUUUUUUAAUCUUAGCCAUUUUCAGUAUACAAUUACCCAUUUGAUAUACAAAUAUAUAAAAAGCGUUUGUGAUUGUAUAAAACGAGAAAAAAGUGUAAAUACAAAUAUAAAUAUAUAUAUUUUCAUUUUAUACGCUUAUAAUUAUACGAAUACAGAUCUUAUUAUACAAAUUAUAAUGCAAUAUAUUCAAUUUAUACAAAAUUAAACAGUUUGUAUAAAGUUGAAUGUAUCUAGAGAAUUAUACAAAUCAAAAGUCUUCAUAGCAAACAUGAAUUUGCUA